CAGUCGCCACGGUAAUACGAAGGGGGCUAGCGUUGUUCGGAAUUACUGGGCGUAAAGCGCACGUAGGCGGAUAUUUAAGUCAGGGGUGAAAUCCCGCAGCUCAACUGCGGAACUGCCUUUGAUACUGGGUAUCUUGAGUAUGGAAGAGGUAAGUGGAAUUGCGAGUGUAGAGGUGAAAUUCGUAGAUAUUCGCAGGAACACCAGUGGCGAAGGCGGCUUACUGGUCCAUUACUGACGCUGAGGUGCGAAAGCGUGGGGAGCAAACAGGAUUAGAUACCCCCGUAGUCCCUGUCUCUUAUAC
rnacentral:rRNA from 1 species